AUACGUAGGGGGCGAGCGUUGUCCGGAAUGAUUGGGCGUAAAGGGCGCGUAGGCGGCCUGUUAAGUCUGGAGUGAAAGUCCUGUUUUCAAGAUGGGAAUUGCUUUGGAAACUGAAGGGCUUGAGUGUAGGAGAGGUUAUCGGAAUUCCCGGUGUAGCGGUGAAAUGCGUAGAGAUCGGGAGGAACACCAGUGGCGAAGGCGGGUAACUGGACUGCAACUGACGCUGAGGCGCGAAAGUGUGGGGAGCAAACAGGAUUAGAUACCCUGGUAGUCCACACUGUAAACGAUGAAUGCUAGGUGUAGGGGGUAUCGACCCCUUCUGUGCCGCAGUAAACACAAUAAGCAUUCCGCCUGGGGAGUACGGUCGCAAGAUUAAAACUCAAAUGAAUUGACGGG
rnacentral:rRNA from 1 species